AAACACGGCUGAGCCGAACCGCGAACUGCGCGCUGGCCAUAUAGUUACACCGACGGUCCGUCUCUCGUAGCUGUCAGUCAGCCAGUCAACGAUUCUGUGGAAGGAUCUUCGGUAGCAUCGAGAACGCCCAGUGACCAUGCAUAUCGACCAAUUGACUUCGAGGAGCGGUCUCUUGACCAUCCUUCAAAUCCUCUUGGGAGUCGUCGUGUUCUCCCUGGCCUAUAACUUUGCCGGAGACCCCAUGAGAUGGCUGCAGUACACGGCGUUCCUGUUCUUCGCGAACGGUAUACUCAUCCUCCUUUCCCUUCUGCUGUCUGGAAGUGGAACUGAGGGAACUUUCUACUUCAAGGUGUACCACUUCGUGGCUCUCGUCCUUUUCAUCGGUGUGCCCGUCUGGUCCAUCAUCAAUACCUCAGGCUCGAAAGAAACCAAAUACUGGGCCACUGUUGGUCUUGCUUUCCUGGAUGCCUUCGUGCACGGCACUCAUGGCGUCUUCAACAUUCGUGCUUGAACAAUCGGAACCACGCCAGUAUGAAACCAGACUGCCUUGUUAGAGAGUCACCAUUUCCUGCGAAAAAUGUGUACUGUAAAACGAUGUGUCCAUCUCCCGUCUACUCGGAGGGCCAUCCCGAGAUCGAAUAAAUUGGCGGUAAUAAAGACAA